GACGAACGCUGGCGGCGUGCUUAACACAUGCAAGUCGAACGGUAAGGCCCUUCGGGGUACACGAGUGGCGAACGGGUGAGUAACACGUGGGUGAUCUGCCCUGCACUUCGGGAUAAGCCUGGGAAACUGGGUCUAAUACCGGAUAGGACUCCGGACUGCAUGGUCUGGGGUGGAAAGCUUUUGCGGUGUGGGAUGGGCCCGCGGCCUAUCAGCUUGUUGGUGGAGUGAUGGCCUACCAAGGCGACGACGGGUAGCCGGCCUGAGAGGGUGACCGGCAACACUGGGACUGAGAUACGGCCCAGACUCCUACGGGAGGCAGCAGUGGGGAAUAUUGCACAAUGGGCGCAAGCCUGAUGCAGCGACGCCGCGUGAGGGAUGACGGCCUUCGGGUUGUAAACCUCUUUCAGCAUCGACGAAGCGAAAGUGACGGUAGGUGCAGAAGAAGGACCGGCCAACUACGUGCCAGCCGCCGCUGUAA
rnacentral:rRNA from 1 species